UACGGAGGAUCCGAGCGUUAUCCGGAUUUAUUGGGUUUAAAGGGAGCGUAGGCGGGUUGUUAAGUCAGUUGUGAAAGUUUGCGGCUCAACCGUAAAAUUGCAGUUGAUACUGGCAUCCUUGAGUACAGUAGAGGUAGGCGGAAUUCGUGGUGUAGCGGUGAAAUGCUUAGAUAUCACGAAGAACUCCGAUUGCGAAGGCAGCCUGCUGGACUGUAACUGACGCUGAGGUUCGAAAGCGUGGGUAGCAAACAGG
rnacentral:rRNA from 1 species